GCCGCCAUGGUGAAAUUGG
rnacentral:tRNA from 3 species